GACGAACGCUGGCGGCGUGCUUAACACAUGCAAGUCGAACGGAAAGGCCUGCUUUCCCUUGUGGUUUGCGGGUACUCUAGUGGCGAACGGGUGAGUAACACGUGAGUGAUCUGCCCCCAACUUGGGUAUAAGCCUGGGAAACUGGUUCUAAUUCCCGAUAGGACUGCAGGGUGGUGCCUGUGGUGGAAAACGAUUUUCUAGUGGUGGGGGAUGAGCUCGCGGCCUAUCAGCUUGUUGGUGGGGUAAUGGCCUACCAAGGCGGCGACGGGUAGCCGGCCUGAGAGGGUGGACGGGCACAUUGGGACUGGGAGACGGCCCAGACUCCUACGGGAGGCAGCAGUGGGGAAUAUUGGACAAUGGGGGGAAGCCUGAUGAAGCGACGCCGCGUGGGGGAUGACGGCCUUCGGGUGGUAAACUCCUUUCGACAGCGAGGAAGCCACCUGGUUGGAAGGGUGGUGACGGUAGUGGUAGAAGAAGCCCCGGCUAACUACGUG
rnacentral:rRNA from 1 species